UACGUAGGGUGCAAGCGUUGUCCGGAAUUAUUGGGCGUAAAGAGCCCGUAGGCGGUUUGUCGCGUCGGCUGUGAAAACUCUGGGCUUAACCCAGAGCCUGCAUUCAAUACUGGCGGGCUAGAGUUCUGGAGGGGAUAGCGGAAUUCCUGGUGUAGCGGUGAAAUGCGUAGAUAUCAGGAGGAACACCGGUGGCGAAGGCGGCUAUCUGGACAGAGUCUGACGCUGAGGCGCGAAAGCUAGGGGAGCAAACAGG
rnacentral:rRNA from 1 species